rnacentral:rRNA from 1 species
AUGGCAGUUGCCAUGUAUUUCUACUGCAUGUUUUCAAACUUCCCAUGUGUAUCUAUACCAAUAUUAUUGCUGCUGAGUACGAAUUCACAAACAUUAAUACCUUCCAGUACAGUUCAAGAUAUGUAUAAACAAAUCUACAUCGAACACGUCAGAGAUAUAUUAGUCGUGUUUGGUUGUCGAAGAAUUUUUUAUCCAGGAAAUAAUGCUAAUAGUGCAAACUGCAAAAGCAUACAAAUAUUAUUUUGUAUUCUAGAGUAUGAAAGUUUAAGCAAGGAUUAUGGCACCUAUGUGAACUUAGAUCGCUCUAGGAAAGUAUUUCAACAAACUAAGUGGUGUUACAGAAACAAACUCUCUGUCUCUCCCUCUCACUGA